rnacentral:rRNA from 1 species
UACAGAGGGCGCGAGCGUUAAUCGGAUUAACUGGGCGUAAAGGGCGCGUAGGCGGUUAUAUGAGUGUGAUGUGAAAGCCCUGGGCUUAACCUAGGAAGUGCAUCGCAAACGAUAUGACUGGAGUAUUGGAGAGGGUAGCGGAAUUUCCGGUGUAGCGGUGAAAUGCGUAGAGAUCGGAAGGAACGUCAAUGGCGAAGGCAGCUACCUGGCCAAAUACUGACGCUGAGGCGCGAAAGCGUGGGGAGCAAACAGG